AUGUAUGUUAUUAAAAAGCUGCUUUGUUUUACAAGUUGCUGUUGGAAUCUCAGUCAAUACUUUUCUGUUCCUCUUCAGCAUCUUCACUCUCCUUCUGUAUCACAGACUAAAACCCACUGACUUGAUCAUCUGUCCCUUGCCCCUCGUCCACAUAGUGAACUUCUUCAUUGCACUGUUAUUGCAGUCUCCAAAUCUGUUUGCAUCAUUGAACUUCAGAAUGACUUCAAGUGUAAGGCACUUUUCCACCUGAGCAGGGUGUUGUGGGGCCUCUCUAUCUGCACCACCUGCCCCCUGAGUGUGUUCCAGGCCACCACCAUCAGCCCCAGCACCUCCUGAUUGGCAAGGUUUAAACAUAAAUCUUCAAAUUACAUUAUCCAUGUUUUCUUCUUCUUAUGGUUCCUCAACUUGUCUUUCAGUAGUAACAGGAUCUUCUACACUGUAGCUGCUUCCAGUGUGAGCCAGACAAAUGUACUGAAUAUAGGUAAGUACUGCUCAGUUUUCUCCAUGAGCUUCAUCCUCAGGGCCACGUUUCUUAUUCUGACAACACUUAGGGAUGCUUUCCUGGUAGGAAUACUGCUGUUCUUAAUUGCAUACAUGGUGACUCUCUUAUUCAGGCCUCAGAGGUGAUCCCACCACCUUCACAGCAAUGGUCCUUCCCCAGGAGCUUCCCCUGAGAAACGGGCCAUCCAGACCAUACUGCUGCUGGUAAGUUUCUCUGUGGUCCUCUGUUGGGUGGAUUUCAUCAUCUCCUUCUCCUCAGCAAUGUUGUGGGCAUAUGGCCCAAUCAACCAGCAAGUUCAGAGUCUUGUAGUCAAUGUCUAUGCCGUGAUCAGUCCUCUGGUGCUCCUCACUUCAGAUAAAAGAAGAACCAAUAUUCUGAAAAAUACACAACAGAAGUGUCAUAG
rnacentral:lncRNA from 1 species